GUGCCAGCCGCCGCGGUAAUACGUAGGCAGCAAGCGUUGUUCGGAGUUACUGGGCGUAAAGAGUGCGUAGGCGGUCCGCUAAGUUCGGUGUGAAAUCUCCCGGCUCAACUGGGAGGGUGCGCCGAAGACUGGCGGGCUUGAGUGCGGGAGAGGAAAGCGGAAUUCCUGGUGUAGCGGUGAAAUGCGUAGAUAUCAGGAGGAACACCUGCGGUGUAGACGGCUUUCUGGACCGUAACUGACGCUGAGGCACGAAAGCGUGGGUAGCAAACAGGAUUAGAAACCCCCGUAGUCC
rnacentral:rRNA from 1 species